rnacentral:misc_RNA from 1 species
GAUGAAGAACGCAGUGAAAUGCGAUACGUAAUGUGAAUUGCAGAAUUCAGUGAAUCAUCGAGUCUUUGAACGCACAUUGCGCCCCCUGGUAUUCCGGGGGGCAUGCCUGUCCGAGCGUCAUUGCUGCCCUCAAGCACGGCUUGUGUGUUGGGCCUCCGCCCCCCGGCUCCCGGGGGGCGGGCCCGAAAGGCAGCGGCGGCACCGCGUCCGGUCCUCGAGCGUAUGGGGCUUCGUCACCCGCUCCGUAGGCCCGGCCGGCGCCCGCCGGCGACCCCCCUCAAUCUUUCCAGGUUGACCUCGGAUCAGGUAGGGAUACCCGCUGAACUUAAGCAUAUAAUAAGCGGAGGA